UACGUAGGUGGCAAGCGUUGUCCGGAAUUAUUGGGCGUAAAGCGCGCGCAGGCGGCCUCCUAAGUCCGAUGUAAAAGCCCACGGCUCAACCGUGGAGGGUCAUUGGAAACUGGGGGACUUGAGUGCAGGAGAGAAGAGUGGAAUUCCACGUGUAGCGGUGAAAUGCGUAGAGAUGUGGAGGAACACCAGUGGCGAAGGCGACUCUUUGGCCUGUAACUGACGCUGAGGCGCGAAAGCGUGGGGAGCAAACAGG
rnacentral:rRNA from 1 species